rnacentral:rRNA from 1 species
UCCUGGCUCAGGACGAACGCUGGCGGCGUGCCUAAUACAUGCAAGUCGAGCGAACCGAUGGGAGCUUGCUCCCUGAGGUUAGCGGCGGACGGGUGAGUAACACGUGGGUAACCUGCCUGUAAGACUGGGAUAACUCCGGGAAACCGGGGCUAAUACCGGAUGCUUGAUUGAACCGCAUGGUUCAAUCAUAAAAGAUGGCUUUUGCUAUCACUUACAGAUGGACCCGCGGCGCAUUAGCUAGUUGGUGAGGUAACGGCUCACCAAGGCGACGAUGCGUAGCCGACCUGAGAGGGUGAUCGGCCACACUGGGACUGAGACACGGCCCAGACUCCUACGGGAGGCAGCAGUAGGGAAUCUUCCGCAAUGGACGAAAGUCUGACGGAGCAACGCCGCGUGAGUGAUGAAGGUUUUCGGAUCGUAAAGCUCUGUUGUUAGGGAAGAACAAGUACCGUUCGAAUAGGGCGGUACCUUGACGGUACCUAACCAGAAAGCC